UCGGGUGUCGCUGAUGGAUGGACCCGCGGUGCAUUAGCUAGUUGGUGAGGUAACGGCUCACCAAGGCCACGAUGCAUAGCCGACCUGAGAGGGUGAUCGGCCACACUGGGACUGAGACGCGGCCCAGACUCCUACGGGAGGCAGCAGUAGGGAAUCUUCGGCAAUGGACGAAAGUCUGACCGAGCAACGCCGCGUGAGUGAAGAAGGUUUUCGGAUCGUAAAACUCUGUUGUUAGAGAAGAACAAGGACGUUAGUAACUGAACGUCCCCUGACGGUAUCUAACCAGAAAGCCACGGCUAACUACGUGCCAGCAGCCGCGGUAAUACGUAGGUGGCAAGCGUUGUCCGGAUUUAUUGGGCGUAAAGCGAGCGCAGGCGGUUUCUUAAGUCUGAUGUGAAAGCCCCCGGCUCAACCGGGGAGGGUCAUUGGAAACUGGGAGACUUGAGUGCAGAAGAGGAGAGUGGAAUUCCAUGUGUAGCGGUGAAAUGCGUAGAUAUAUGGAGGAACACCAGUGGCGAAGGCGGCUCUCUGGUCUGUAACUGACGCUGAGGCUCGAAAGCGUGGGGAGCAAACAGGAUUAGAUACCCUGGUAGUCCACGCCGUAAACGAUGAGUGCUAAGUGUUGGAGGGUUUCCGCCCUUCAGUGCUGCAGCAAACGCAU
rnacentral:rRNA from 1 species